rnacentral:rRNA from 1 species
GAUGAACGCUGGCGGCGUGCCUAAUACAUGCAAGUCGAACGCGCAGCGAAAGGUGCUUGCACCUUUCAAGCGAGUGGCGAACGGGUGAGUAACACGUGGAUAACCUGCCUCAAGGCUGGGGAUAACAUUUGGAAACAGAUGCUAAUACCGAAUAAAACUUAGUAUCGCAUGAUACAAAGUUAAAAGGCGCUACGGCGUCACCUAGAGAUGGAUCCGCGGUGCAUUAGUUAGUUGGUGGGGUAAAGGCUUACCAAGACGAUGAUGCAUAGCCGAGUUGAGAGACUGAUCGGCCACAUUGGGACUGAGACACGGCCCAAACUCCUACGGGAGGCUGCAGUAGGGAAUCUUCCACAAUGGGCGCAAGCCUGAUGGAGCAACGCCGCGUGUGUGAUGAAGGCUUUCGGGUCGUAAAGCACUGUUGUAUGGGAAGAAAUGCUAAAAUAGGGAAUGAUUUUAGUUUGACGGUACCAUACCAGAAAGGGGCGGCUAAAUCCGUGCCAGCAGCCGCGGUAAUACGUAUGUCCCGAGCGUUAUCCGGAUUUAUUGGGCGUAAAGCGAGCGCAGACGGUUGAUUAAGUCUGAUGUGAAAGCCCGGAGCUCAACUCCGGAAUGGCAUUGGAAACUGGUUAACUUGAGUGUUGUAGAGGUAAGUGGAACUCCAUGUGUAGCGGUGGAAUGCGUAGAUAUAUGGAAGAACACCAGUGGCGAAGGCGGCUUACUGGACAACAACUGACGUUGAGGCUCGAAAGUGUGGGUAGCAAACAGGAUUAGAUACCCCGGUAGUCCACACCGUAAACGAUGAAUACUAGGUGUUAGGAGGUUUCCGCCUCUUAGUGCCGAAGCUAACGCAUUAAGUAUUCCGCCUGGGGAGUACGACCGCAAGGUUGAAACUCAAAGGAAUUGACGGGGACCCGCACAAGCGGUGGAGCAUGUGGUUUAAUUCGAAGCAACGCGAAGAACCUUACCAGGUCUUGACAUCCUUUGAAGCUUUUAGAGAUAGAAGUGUUCUCUUCGGAGACAAAGUGACAGGUGGUGCAUGGUCGUCAUCAGCUCGUGUCGUGAGAUGUUGGGUUAAGUCCCGCAACGAGCGCAACCCUUAUUGUUAGUUGCCAGCAUUCAGUUGGGCACUCUAGCGAGACUGCCGGUGACAAACCGGAGGAAGGCGGGGACGACGUCAGAUCAUCAUGCCCCUUAUGACCUGGGCUACACACGUGCUACAAUGGCGUAUACAACGAGUUGCCUACCUGCGAAGGUGAGCUAAUCUCUUAAAGUACGUCUCAGUUCGGACUGCAGUCUGCAACUCGACUGCACGAAGUCGGAAUCGCUAGUAAUCGCGGAUCAGCACGCCGCGGUGAAUACGUUCCCGGGUCUUGUACACACCGCCCGUCACACCAUGGGAGUUUGUAAUGCCCAAAGCCGGUGGCCUAACCUUCGGGAGGGAGCCGUCUAAGGCAGGACAGAUGACUAGGGUG